AGGGGGAGCACUUGAUCCUGGGCUUUGUCCCCUGGCGCCCUGGGCCCGGGGCCUGCACUGCUAGAAUCGCACCCCCGGACCACGCAGCCCCCC
rnacentral:pre_miRNA from 1 species